rnacentral:rRNA from 1 species
GCAAGUCGAGCGCACUCUUCGGAGUGAGCGGCAGACGGGUGAGUAACGCGUGGGAAUUUGCCUGAUGGUACGGAACAACAUCGGGAAACCGUUGCUAAUACCGUAUGUGCCCUUCGGGGGAAAGAUUUAUCGCCAUAAGAUGGGCCCGCGUUAGAUUAGCUAGUUGGUGAGGUAACGGCUCACCAAGGCGACGAUCCAUAGCUGGUCUGAGAGGAUGAUC